AUGCCUGAGAAAUCAAAAGAGUUUCAGCUGGAGAUGGUUUUCGCGGAGCUACAGGAACUGGCAUUCCGCAGGGAGCAUCUCACAAACCGGCUCAAUCUGUUGAUUAUGCUAACGGAAUUCCGGCAGAAUGCUGGCCUUCAUGAGGAAGUUGAUGAAAAAGAAGGCAUUGAGGAAGAACUUAAGAAACUUUCAGAAAGGAAGAGACAACUGCAACAAUUGCAAGAAAGACUUGAGUUUAAACAUUUUACAGGUGGUACUUUCACCACCGUUCCGAUAGAUGAGCCUACCACACCUUCAUCUAUGGGUACUGAAAUAUUUUUUGUGGAACCCCCACCCUAUCCAGCUCCUCAGGUGAUUAUGGACGUAUCAAAACUGCCCCCAUGUUCCUCUCCAACAAGAUGCCCCCAUUGUGAACAGUUUGUUACUACAGAGGUGAUCACCAUGACAGGGAGCACAGCCUGGCUAGUGUGCCUUGUAUGUGCUUUCCUUGGGUGAGUUUCAUCACAUGUGAUUACAUGUUAGAGCAGGUAAAACAUAGAGCUGACAACACCAUGGCCCUGGGUUCUGUUCCCAAGGACCACAAAUUCUGUCAUACUGAUAAAUAUAUAAAUGUAUAUAUGUAUGUUACAGUAUUACCA
ensembl:lncRNA